AUGCCAACUCCGAUGGCUGAUCACUUCACCAGAGAAGACAGUGUACUGGAGGAGGUCUUCCACCAACAAUUAAAUACGCCAGCCAGGAAGUACCACAUGGUACCUAAUGUCCAAAAAGGAAUGUGGAGCCAUUACUGUAACACGGAAGCACUAUACAGCUUUAGUCAUUUCUGUCACAAUUCCCUCAUCUCCAAAAUCCAGGUCAUAGCCAAGCCUCUUCUUGGCUUGUGUCUUUCUCUACCCUGGAAGAUGCUAAAUUUUUAACAGCAGAAUAUCAGAGUAGGAGGAAUAGUGGCUUGACUUCUGUUUGCACCAAUUCCCAAGUGACCUUGGACAUGUUAUUUAACUUCCCCAAGCCUAAUUUUCCUCAUUUGACAGAUGAGGAUAAUAGCAGUUCCUAUCUUAUAGGCUUGUGGAAUUAAAAGGAAUAAUACAUGAAAAGUAGUUGGCAUUGAAGAAGUAUGCAGUAAAUGCUCGGCCAUCCCAAAAAAUGCAGUCAUGGACAAAGUUUCAUGUGCUGUCCAUCUCAUAUAUUCUCUACCCACUGAGAAAUGCCUGUGACAGAGGGAGAUUAAGCAGCAAUGCCUAUGAGAGAGGGAGAACUCAACUCGAGGACAAGCAAGUGUCUGGAUCUGAGGUCUGUGCUUGGAGGUUAUGAAGCAUCUGGGUCACUACAAUUAGAAUGGCUUCUGAUCCCUGUAAACACUGCCCUGGAAAAUGAACUUAGGUGAGUACUUUGCAACUCCCAUGGAAAUGAAGGUGAUAGACAACAGGCAGCCUACUUCUCUGGAACCAUUUCAAAUCUGGUUUAAGUUUACUUUGAAAAGUAAACAAUGGUUUACAGCAGUCCUGUGAAUAAAACCUACGUAAUACUUUACCCAAAAGCACACUUGACCUUUUAAACUUGCUUUCAGAAAGAGGUGAAGAUGUCAUUCUAUUUCAAUAGAACUACUGUAUGAAAUGUUUGAUUUUACGUAAAAUCAUUAUAGGUAUGAUUUAUCACUUUGCAACAGGAUUCAGUAUAGGAUUUAAAUAGCACACCUUUGAACUUUAUCUUUAUUAGUAUAUAUAUUUAUUAUAUAUUAUUACAUAAUAACUAUUAUUUAUUUGUCUGAACUUUAUUAUUUUUACUGUUUAUGCAUUUUUUUAUUUUCCCCACUCCCCUCCACCUUUCCUGGCCUCUGGUAACCACAAAUCUACUCCCUAUCUUCAUGAGAUCCAUUCUGUUUUGCUCCCACAUAUGAGUGAGAAUAUGUGUGUUAUGUCUUUCUGUCUUACUUCAUUUAAUGCAAUGUCCUCCAGUUCCUUCCAUGUUGCUACGACGACAGGAUUUUAUUCUUUUUAAUGGAUGAAUAAUAUUCUAUUGUGUAUAUAUGCUACAUUUUCUUUAUCCAUUCAUUCAUUAAUAGGCACUUAGUCUGAUUCCAUAUUUUGUCUACUGUAAAUAGUCUUGCUAAAUGUGAGAGUGCAGAUAUUUUUUCAGCAUAUUGAUAUCUUUUGGGUAUAUACCCACUGGUGGAACUGCUGGACCACAUGGUACUUCUAUUUUUAGUAUUUUGAGAAACCUCCAUAUAGCUUUCCAUAGUAGUUCUCCUAAUU
rnacentral:lncRNA from 1 species